GUCUCUUCAGAGACAUUUGACAAAACUGGAACGACGUAGAGAAGAUUAACAUGGUCCCUACGCAAGGAAACAAUAGUUCAUAAGAGUUAAUUUUUUAUU
rnacentral:snRNA from 1 species